UAAGUACUAAGAAUGUGGUCGAUUGGGCU
rnacentral:piRNA from 1 species